rnacentral:lncRNA from 1 species
CUUUACCAAAUGAAACAAAAAACAGAGAACUGGAGAAAAGAAAAGGUCUGGAUCCUAGAAAAUUUGUGUAAAAAGUCAGAUUUCCUUUAUACACAGCACACACUGGCUUUACAGGACCUACACAACAUCAGUUCACAUGUGGAAAGAUUGCAAGAUCUCAUGAAUUUCCAGAUAAAAAUUCUUCAAGAAAAGUCUAAAAAGGCAGAAGGAGAAAAUUCAGAUGUGUCAGAGGUUUUAGUAUUAAAAACAGACCAAACAGCUGAUGAAGAACAGAAGACUGACUGGUCAGUGGAACAGCAGUAUCUUUGGCAAGCUCACACCAUCCUGCAGGAGAUAAAAGAAUCUUUACAGAAACGAGAGAGGGAAGUCACUGAGCUCUUGGAAACUGAGAGAAGAUUUAACAAGGCAAUGAAACCUCAAGUGACGGUGCUAUUAUUCUUAAAAUCUCUUAUCAAGAUGGUUCACACCAUAUAUUGUGAUGUCCCUGGGGCACAGCAAUGCAUCCAUCAGCUUAUCAGGAAGAACAAGGAUGAAAGGCCUGAUCUAGAAGAAGUUUUUAAUAAUGCUCAGGCUGACAUUCUGUCCUAUGAAAUAUUUUGUGGAAAUGAACUUAUGGAUGACACAAGGGCACACUUCCCAGCGAAGCUUUUCAGAAACCUUGGGAAAGCAAAGUCUGAUUUAGAAUAUAUUGAAACAGAAGAAAUUGUGUUUGAUUGUAUCCAGACAGGAGAAAUCCCCAGCUGGAUUAAAAGGGAUUGUCUGUAUGUAGCCUGGUCAGAAGACCCUGCAAUAUGCUCUGAGGAGGUAGAGUCACCAUUCUGAGGAACUCAUGCAGAAGUUUAAAAUGGAAAUCAAGGUUUACUAGGCAAUGAAGAAACACUCAGAGAGAUACCAACACUGAAACAAGCUCCCAGUUUUAGAAAGAAGCACUGGAGAGAAAGCUUGAAGCACAAAAGCACUUUCUUCAGUAUCUUUUGAAUGGACAAAAAAUUGGAAGCAUUCAAUACCUGUGAUUCACUAAAUAUCAGAAAACUUAUGCAGGCAUUUAAAUGUUUUGAAAAUUUUCUGCUGUUUAAUAAACAUUUUUAAGAAAUCUUCUAAAAGAAAGAA